AACGAACGCUGGCGGCAUGCCUAACACAUGCAAGUCGAACGAGACCUUCGGGUCUAGUGGCGCACGGGUGCGUAACGCGUGGGAACCUGCCCUUAGGUUCGGAAUAACUCCCCGAAAGGGGUGCUAAUACCGGAUAAUGUCUUCGGACCAAAGAUUUAUCGCCUUUGGAUGGGCCCGCGUUGGAUUAGCUAGUUGGUAGGGUAAAAGCCUACCAAGGCGACGAUGCAUAGCUGGUCUGAGAGGAUGAUCAGCCACACUGGGACUGCGACACGGACCAGACUCCUACGGGAGGCAGCAGUAGGGAAUAUUGGACAAUGGGCGAAAGCCUGAUCCAGCAAUGCCGCGUGAGUGAUGAAGGCCUUAGGGUUGUAAAGCUCUUUUACCCGGGAUGAUAAUGACAGUACCGGGAGAAUAAGCUCCGGCUAACUCCGUG
rnacentral:rRNA from 1 species